rnacentral:rRNA from 1 species
GAUGAACGCUAGCGGCAGGCUUAAUACAUGCAAGUCGAGGGGCAGCAGGGGUAGCAAUACUCGCUGGCGACCGGCAAACGGGUGCGGAACACGUACAGAACCUUCCUUUAAGCGGGGGAUAGCCCGGAGAAAUCCGGAUUAAUACCCCAUAGUAAUAUUUAAUGGCAUCAUUAGAUAUUUAAAGAUUUAUCACUUAAAGAUGGCUGUGCGGCUGAUUAGGUAGUUGGUGCGGGUAACGGCCCACCAAGCCUUCGAUCAGUAACUGGUGUGAGAGCACGACCAGUCACACGGGCACUGAGACACGGGCCCGACUCCUACGGGAGGCAGCAGUGGGGAAUUUUGGACAAUGGGGGCAACCCUGAUCCAGCCAUGCCGCGUGCGGGAAGAAGGCCU